rnacentral:rRNA from 1 species
CUAUACAUGACUCUGCGCAUAUCAAUAAGCGGAGGAAAAGAAACUAACAAGGAUUCCCCUAGUAACGGCGAGUGAAGCGGGAAGAGCUCAAAUUUGAAAUCUUAAAGGGUUUCCCUUUACGGAUUGUAGUUUAAAGAAGUGUUUUCUGUUGAGGUUUUGGUAAAAGUUCUUUGGAAUAGGACAUCAUAGAGGGUGAGAAUCCCGUAUUUGACCUUUACUUUCAACUUUGUGAUACACUUUCAAAGAGUCGGAUUGUUUGGGAAUGCAGUCCAAAAUGGGUGGUAAAUUUCAUCUAAAGCUAAAUAUUGGCGAGAGACCGAUAGCGAACAAGUACCGUGAGGGAAAGAUGAAAAGAACUUUGAAAAGAGAGUUAAACAGUACGUGAAAUUGUCAAAAGGGAAGCGUUUGACACCAGUGUUGUUUUUCUGAAAAUCAAUUAAAGAACUGUUUAUGCUAAGUUGUUUAGACUUUAUCAGCUAACUGUUUAGUUUUGAGCUUUUCUUUAAUGCACUUUUCAGUUAACAAGUCAACAUCAAUUUCUUUUGCUGUAAAAAAGCUUGAGGAAGGUGGCUUGAGAUUCGUCUUAAGUGUUUAUAGCCUCUUGCCUAUGCAGUCGGAGAGAUUGAGGUCUGCAGCGUAGAUCCUUCGGGGCUAAAUGCAUUUGUGCUAAGUUAUAGCAUUUUAUAGACAACUUGUUGACUAUGAUUUGUCUUGUAGCUUACUCGCUUAUGUUAUUUUACCUACGCUUAGGAUGUUGAUCUACAGAGCGAGAGU